rnacentral:ncRNA from 10 species
AUCGUUCAACCUAUUUUCAUAGGUCGGAAGUAAGCCAUAAGCUGAAGGAACGCUCA